UACGAAGGGGGCUAGCGUUGCUCGGAAUCACUGGGCGUAAAGCGCACGUAGGCGGCUUCUUAAGUCAGGGGUGAAAUCCUGGAGCUCAACUCCAGAACUGCCUUUGAUACUGGGGAGCUUGAGUCCGGGAGAGGUGAGUGGAACUGCGAGUGUAGAGGUGAAAUUCGUAGAUAUUCGCAAGAACACCAGUGGCGAAGGCGGCUCACUGGACCGGUACUGACGCUGAGGUGCGAAAGCGUGGGGAGCAAACAGG
rnacentral:rRNA from 1 species